GAUGAACGCUGGCGGCGUGCCUAAUACAUGCCAGUCGAGCGAACAGACGAGGAGCUUGCUCCUCUGACGUUAGCGGCGGACGGGUGAGUAACACGUGGAUAACCUACCUAUAAGACUGGGAUAACUUCGGGAAACCGGAGCUAAUACCGGAUAAUAUAUUGAACCGCAUGGUUCAAUAGUGAAAGACGGUUUUGCUGUCACUUAUAGAUGGAUCCGCGCCGCAUUAGCUAGUUGGUAAGGUAACGGCUUACCAAGGCAACGAUGCGUAGCCGACCUGAGAGGGUGAUCGGCCACACUGGAACUGAGACACGGUCCAGACUCCUACGGGAGGCAGCAGUAGGGAAUCUUCCGCAAUGGGCGAAAGCUUGACGGAGCAACGCCGCGUGAGUGAUGAAGGUCUUCGGAUCGUAAAACUCUGUUAUCAGGGAAGAACAAAUGUGUAAGUAACUAUGCACGUCUUGACGGUACCUAAUCAGAAAGCCACGGCUAACUACGUG
rnacentral:rRNA from 1 species